rnacentral:lncRNA from 1 species
AGUGAGUGGUCAUUCAGCCACUUCUUGAGGCUCUCCAACUCAGGAGAAUCGAUUCUUGCCCAAGAAUCAUCCAAAUUCAGUGGCAAGACCAAGGCAGGAUAAAUGGCGAUGGCCAGGGAUGCAGUAGAAGCCUCCUGGCAGAAGACUGAUAGACUCUCUAGGUGCAGAAAGAGACAUACAGUUUUGUACACAGCAAAUCUUGCCAAAGAGGAAGACACCCCACCCCCAACCGGGACUACACAACAACUUGCAAUACAGCACAAUUCUAGAUAAUAAAACCCAGCCCCACCAUUGUACUCCAAUGUCUUGACUGGCAGAGGGGACAUCAUGGUCACUGGCAGGCUCUGAAUUCAUUCAGUAGGUAAGCUUUUAUAAGGUGGAGUAUUUUUUUUAAAUUUUUACUUUCUGCCCUACUAACAACUCUAAGUCAGAAGGACAAGGGUUUAGGAAAAUGGGGUUAAGUGACUUGCCCAGGGUCACACAGCUAGGAAAUAUCUGAGGCCAGAUGGGAACCCAGGUGCUCCUAACUCUAGAUCUGAUGUUCUAUCUACUGUGUCACCAAGCUGCCCUGGAAUUUGAGUUUUGAGAGUUACUUUUUCUGAUGGUAAGACACUAGAGGUAUGG